GCCGGUGUAGCUCAACUGGUAGAGCAACUGACUUGUAAUCAGUAGGUUGGGGGUUCAAGUCCUCUCGCCGGCACCA
rnacentral:tRNA from 183 species